UAUAUACGUCCCACUGCUGGGCACAGGCCUCCUCUCAUGCGCGAGGGCUUGGGCUAUAGUCCCCACGCUAGCCCAAUGCGGAUUGAGGACUUCACAUACACCUUUGAAUUUCUUCGCAGAUGUAUGCAGGUUUCCUCACGAUGUUUUCCUUCACCGAAAAGCUAGUGGUAAAUAUUAAAUGAUAUUUCCCAGGAUUUGAACCCGCGACCUCCGGAUUGAAAGUCAGACGUCAUAUCCACUCGGCCACCACUGCUUCUA